CACACGGGGACACGGCGGGAGCUAAGGGUGACUUUUAGGAGGUGCAUUCACUGUGCACCAAAUAAAUUCCAGCUCAGCUCCACAAAACAGCUCCUUUCAGGGCCCGAAGGGUUAAAUAUAAAGGCGCAGUAUUUUUCAGCGGCCAUAUGUGUCUGCAGCAAAGGAAGGAGCCGGCACAGUUGCUUCCAAAUGUUCAGAGGACGAGUUUCCAGGUCUGCAGCUGUGCUUUACUAGGGAGCCACAGUCAAUAUCCAUAAGAAUUUGGCGUAAACUCAUUUGAGAAAACGUUAACGUGCCCUGGAGGCGGAUGUAACGGUAUCUGGGGAGCAGGCAUUGAUCAUCCACUUUUUGGAACACAGAAAGCAAACAGUUUUCGUCGAUGUGUUUCCAUGUUUUCUGUGGGUCUUUUCCAACCUGGUAGGUAGCUUCUGCUUCUCUCGCCACGGAACUCCAUUUCCUCGUACACGAGGCAACGGACCGACUGGACUCGGCUGAAGGGACGUGUCCGAGCGCCCGGUAAUUAACAUGUCCCUCAGCAACGCCAUAAUCAGAGGCCUCCUCCGAGGCUGCCACGGCAAGCCUCCUGUUUUCAAGGGUUAUGAGUUUCUGCUCUCACAUCUCUUCUUUUCCUAAAUAGCAGCGACGGAGCUGGCUGCAAGAACACUUCAGCAGCUCCUCCGUGCUGCGGUCAAAUCAUUUUUCAGUCAUGUGAAAAUCAACAAGAAAAGACCGUUGGGGUUUCAAACAGCUUUAUGUUCCCAUCUGGCAUCCGAAAAAGGCUCAUUUAACUUAACGCAGCCACAUUUUUCAAACACCUGGUUCUUCCUUGGCAUUCUGUCGAAAAAUCCUUCUUCCAAAACAAGAACGAAAUCUCAGUUAUCACUUAACCGUUCAUCAGCGCGUGUGGCGAGGAACACUCGGGAUCCAUGUGUUUCAGUUUCUGCUAUAGAACUUCAGAACCAACCAUAAUAAGACCUCACCACCGCUGCUGCCUCCUCCACGUGUAUGGAGUGCUUACGCUGGGUGCUCAGUACUGGCUCGAUCAUUCACAUCCUACCUGCCUAGUGAGUUAGGCAUUAUCAUCAACAGCUUUAAAACGAGGAAAUAGAGAUUCAGAGAUGUUGUCACUCGCACAGUUCAUACAGGAAGGAGGACUAGGCUGCUCCCAGCUCUGAGCCUCCUGCCCUUGAAGAGAUGAACAGCCAGUGUUCAAGAGCGGUGAUAACUUGCACCCAGAGGCACCUCCACAAAUGGAGAAGGUCCUUGGUGCUCAUCGAAUUAUCAAAGAAGCUUGUGAACCUUGGUCUAAUCCCACUCUGUCAUUUGGCAGCUUUAUGCAUGUUAAAGCUAAUAGAACUCA
ensembl:lncRNA